rnacentral:rRNA from 1 species
GACGAACGCUGGCGGCGUGCCUAACACAUGCAAGUCGAACGAGAAGCCCGCAAGGGUUGUAAAGUGGCGGACGGGUGCAUAACACGUGGGUAAUCUACCCUUUGGUCUGAGAUAACCUGCCGAAAGGCGGGCUAAUACCGGAUAAGACCACGGCUCUGAGGAGCUGUGGGAAAAGGCCCGCAAGGGUCGCCGAUCGAUGAGCCCGCGGCCUAUCAGGUAGUUGGUGAGGUAAUGGCUCACCAAGCCUACGACGGGUAGCUGGUCUGAGAGGACGACCAGCCACACUGGAACUGAGACACGGUCCGGACUCCUACGGGAGGCAGCAGUGGGGAAUAUUGCGCAAUGGGCGAAAGCCUGACGCAGCAACGCCGCGUGGGUGAUGAAGGCCUGGUU